GGGUGGGGAGAAAAGCACCGGAAGAGGGAACGAGAGGGGAUGAAAAGGAACCAAGGGAGGACAAGAGUGAGAGCGAAUCGAGAGCGAGAGUGAGAUUGGCCUGCCGGGUGAGCCCAACGGGGGUCUGAACAUUAACCAAUCAUAAAUCUAUUGACCAUGCUCGAGAAUCCAGGUGAGGGGAAGAAGAAAGAAAAAGAAGAGGAUGAGAAGAAAACGUUAUCCUUGGAUCGUUUCCUUCCUGACCUUACCUCGUUUCGCUAAUUCGUUAACGACCUUGCACGAGCUUCGAACUGGGUUGGGUUGGAGGGGAAGGGUUUGGGCCUGGCCGACUCCUGGUCCCGUAUUAUCUUAGCAGUUGGUUUAAACACUCCUUGCUCGCGGGUCAGAGAAAACAACACGAUUAUAAGUUUAAGGUAGCCAAGUGAACUGAACAGAACCAAACGUAACCGAUCAAGAGAGCGGUACUCGACUUCUCGUAAAAUUAUCCGUAAUAAAAGCAUGAUUUACGUUCACGUUCUUGAAAAGCGGAUCGUUCAAACGUUCUUCUGCUCCUUUCAUUUUGUUAUUUUUUUCCUCUUCUUCGUUUCGUCGAUCGAAAAUGACGAGGUCAACGAUGACGACAACAACUACGACGACGACGACGACGACGACGGCGGCAAAUUCCCUCGGGAGGAACUCUGACCUUUCGAUGAGAUAAAA
rnacentral:lncRNA from 1 species